ensembl:lncRNA
GCCCGCCCCGGGUCCCCGCAGCAGCCUCGGUGCCCCGAGUGCGUCGGCACCGCCCGCCCGGCCUUGGCGCGGCCGCGGUGACUCGGGCCCGGCUCUAGCUGCCCGUCCCCCUCGACUGUCGGCUCCGUGUGUCUGCUGAUUUGGCUGCAUCUGUCCUGCAUAUUUAUGGUCGCCUGUCACUGUCACAUUCCCUGGCCGUUGACAGUUUCCAAAGCACUUGGGCCAGAAGAAACUCGGGAUUUGGGGAGUUCAUAACAGGUGGAGGCGCUGAAGGGAGGCGACCCGCCCGGGACUCAGCCCGACGAGGCGGGAGCUCUAGGAGUUGCUGGCGACUCUGUCGGGAACAGUGUUGGGAGGUGGCCCGUGGCUGCCAGGGUGUCCUUGCUGUCAACUGCUGGACUCGGAGCGGGACCUGUGCCCCGCCCCGAGCACAGUGUGGAGGCCGCUCGCUUAAGGGUCCUGCAAGUGAAGGUGCUGGGGCUGGGGGACUUUAGUCACCCGCUUCUCACGUGAUUGCUGCGCCCUCCAGCUAGGCGGACAGUGACUCCUCUUUCUCCAGAGCCAACUUUGGAUCUUUCUCACCUGUGCUUUUGUAACCUUUUGAUUAGCAAAAGCAAGACGAAUUGUUCCCGGAACACUUAAGCUGCCUGGAAACUUACUUACAAGAAAAAUCGAGCGUUAAUUCAUCAGGGACAUCCUGAGGGUUUUGCUGUCGGGCCAGUUAACUGAUUGCAAAUUCUCCCCAAGUUUAAAACUAGGUGAGCUGCUUUGGGGAGCAGCCUGAGAUCAGGGCUCGGUGGUCUGACAGCUGAGCAGGAGGCCCGGGUAAGGGAUCAUGGUGGACUUACAAAGCCUGGCAGGUAGGAGCUGACUUUCACCUUGGCGGGGACAGGAGGAACCAAUCACUGCAGCCUUUGGAACCUCCUCAUCCUCAGUGAAACAGGACAGCUCACAGGAUUGCGUUCCUAAACUUUAUUCCUAAGACCAUUCCCCAUAAAGUUCUGUUUGGGUCAGGUUGUUUGGGGUUAAAACUGAGCCUUACUGAACCAAUUAAAAACAUGCCGGAGUCAAAUUACAUAAAUCAUUUUGAAAAUUAAGAUACUGACAACCCUAUGGUCUCUAAAGGUUCUUUCCUGCUCAAUUUAUAUUACUCUUCUAUCUUUAGUGUAAAAUCAUCUUCAUCCUAUUAUGUACUGAUUAUCAAGAAGAAAGUGUUCUUUUAUUGCUUGUUGAUGUCAGUUUCUCUUUUAUUGGCUUGUUGCUCCUUCCUUUAAGUCAUGGGCUGGAAGGGACAGAAUCUCAUUUCCUCCACUAAAGCAGCCACUUGUACUAACGGGUUUUUCUCAUUCUGUAUGUCAGGCCUAGGGAAAGACAUUGUGUUUUAAAGGCUAUGGCUUUUUUUUUUUUUUUUUCAAAUAAUAAGCAAGGCAAGGAGAGAAGUAACCAUGCUCAGCCUAGGGACUGUAAGUGUUCUGAUAAGUAAGAGGAACAAGGUAGAAACAUGGGAAAGUUGAAGGGUUUGUAGCUGCUCUUCAAUUAGAUCGUUUCACCAGAACUGCAUUAUUUCACCUGAUGUGUUGUGAAACUGCACAAUCUCAAACCCACCCUGAAGUCAUCAACUACUAAGAUAUGUUUUUGUUUUGGGUUUUUUUUGGUACCUGGGAUCGAACUCGGGACCUUGUGCUUGCAAGGCAGGUGCCGGAACCACUGAGCUAAAUCCCUGCCCCUAAGAUGUAUUUUUAAAACAAACACGAAUAUAAUUUUUUCUGUUGACGCUGUCCACCUGUGUAAAUAAUGAUAGUUACAUAUUUAGUUUGUUUACAGAAAAUUGAUUUUCUUAAGUUACUACAACCUAUUGUACUUACUCAAGGUUCAGGAAAAGAUACUUUCAAAUAUGUGUUCUGAAUCUUCAAAAUAUUAAGUUAUGGCUGAGGCAAGAAGAUUACAAGUUUGAGGACAGCCUAGGCAACGUAGACCCUGUCUCAAAAAAAAGACAGAAAAAUCAGCAAAUCUCAGCGGAAGGUAAAUAACAGCUAAAAUAUUAUAUCUUUAUAUCAAUUAUUAAAAGAUGUAGGCUUAGAUUUGUAGCACCGUCAUUAAAAAUAAUAGGAGUGUUUUAAAAAUAUAGUAACCCUAUUUAUGAAAAUUCAAAUAGUAUUCUAUAAUAAUUUUAUCUUAAUUAUAAGAUAAGAACUAGAUUUUGAUGAUAACAAGCUCUGGAAAUUCAACUUUAAGGUAAUUCUGCAAGCAACAAGCAUAUCAUUGUACUACUGAUUAGAAAAAGAAAUACUCCAUUGGUGGAAAAUAAUUUUAAUAGAUGAAAGUGAUGAAUAUUGGAUGUGAGUUUAGAAUUGGGAAGUUGAGAAGUCUUGUGGUUAUUAUAGCCACUAUGUGGCUACUGUGUCUUGAAGAUUGCAAAACAAAAUAACAUUUUUAAAAAGAAUGGAAAGUUGAUGAAUAGUAUGCAUAGUUUUUAAGAAUAAAUUGAACAACUUCAUAUUUUGUUACUCAAAAAUCUAACAAUUAUGGUUGUGUGGACCAAAGUACCUUCAUCUAUUGCUUAUGAACCAGAGAUUCAGAGCAUCAGAUAACUACCCUUACAGAGCAUAUAAACGUCUACUGCUUAACGCCUAACCCAAAUCAUUAUGGUCCACCAUUUCAUAAAAUGAUGUUUUAAAAUUAGUGUUGUUUUUCAGUUUGCACAUAUUCUUUCCUUUCAGGAAUAGCACAGCAUGAUGCAAAGAACCCUGGUCUUGUAGUUUCAGUCCUUGGGGAAGAUACUGUCUUGGCCGCAUACUUAACUGUGUGACUCUGGAAAGAUAUUCAUUCUGGCCAUCAGACCCUUCAUUGGUAAAUAAUGCAAUGUCUCUUCCAUAACCAGAGUUAGAAAAAAUACUGUUUCCUUUCUUCUUUCCCUUUUAUGGUAACUUUGAAUGCUUCCUUUUGUUUAGACUGAAGUUUUCAUUUUUCAAUUAUAAAGCAACUUAUUUCUUAACUGCAUUUCUGGUGUAUUCACCCCCCAAAUGUUUGAAAUUAGUUUCCUACAUUUUUCCUGAGUACUGUAAUUAAAACAUCAAAUGCUUUAAUGAAAGAGCUGUGAGUCAUGAAAACACCUAGAUUCUCUUUGACUCUCCAACUAAAAAGUCUUUGAACACAUGAGCUCAAGUGAUCUCUUUCUCUUUCAUUUUCCCAAAAUGAGCAUUGGAUUAGACUCUAGUGGCCACUUCUAGCUCCAGAAGUUUAUGCUCAUCUAUUCAAACUCCUUUUUAGAUUCUCAAACUCCUGGAUUAAGAACAGCUGUAUAGGCCUGUUCUAUCAAGAUUUGAAGGAAAGCAUGAAAUCCUUAAUUAGAGAGCUCUUUUGUAAUUAGUUCUAAAAUUUGAGUGCAGAGAAUUGAAAUGCUGUCACUGUAUUGACAACCCAUCAGAAGCAUGUAAGUCUCUAUGCAGCUUCUUUAUGGUCUGUGCAUUGGCUCUUUAUCCUUUGGCCUGAAGGAUUUUCACUCACCUGGUCUCCAAAGCUCCAGCUUUCACCUCAGGCCUCAGGGUUUCUGCAUUGUGAGUAAGUUUCCCUGUUUGUACCAAUGCAUGCCUUUGUCUAAGAACAUUGCCUGAAGGUGACAGUAAACAGCACUGGAAAUAGUAUUUGAGAUGCUUACUGUAAUACAGUCCAUUUUGGUCAUAUAGUUGCAGACACUGAAUAGAGUACAGUUUUGUUUAUAUCUGUAUUUCUUAAUUGAAAAUGUAUUUUGGCAGUCCAUGAUGUCUGUUUUCUGAACCAUAAAAGCCACAUGUCUAAUUCAUAAACUAUAGUCCUGAAUUUAAUUUACUCACCAUUUUAUCUUCAAGGAGAAAAAUACGAUUUGAGGUUUUAAAUAAAUGUGAAAUGCUUUGCCACAGAGAUUCUAAAGAAAUAAAAUACACUGCUGGGCCCAGCACAAGCCUUCACACUGAAUUUGUAUUUCUGAAGGACACCGGCUCAGCUUAUUUCACAGAUUGAAUAAAGUGCCUUUGGUUCUAAUGUACCUGUUACAAUUUAACUAAAAUAGUCAUGAGCAAAGUCUUAUUUCUAAAAGCAUUUCUCUGGCAUGAGACUAUGUGACUGAAACCAUUAUAAGUAGAAUUUACAGAAAAUUAUACUUUGUUCAAAGGAAUGUUUUAUAAAGAUAUUUUGAGUGCCUAAAGGUGAGUUCUGUUUAUAUAAGAAGAAUGUGUGGUCAUAAAUCCAUGCUGUGCUGGCUAAUAGGACAUUUUUUUUCAUAAUCAGAUACAUGUUUAUUUUAUAUUGGAUUUUAAACUUCUGGAAAAUUCCAAAAUCCAAAUGAAAAGGACCUUGGUGAUGACUUAGCAAGCUCCUAAUUCCAAGUUUCUCUCUUUGAAGAGAAAGAACGUUGUUCUUUUUUCAUCACAAAAACAAAAAAGACAUGUCAUGCUUAGAACAGUUUUAAUCAUUUAGUCAGUUAAUUAACAACGGAUUGUUAAACUCAGAUCUUCCAGUAAAUUUGUUACUAAUGGUCAAAAAUCUCCCUUUAUAAUUCCAGCUAGCAAAGGCUUUCAUUUUAAAAUUCAGAAAGCAGAGGAGAGCUUAUUAACCCCCCCACCCCCCGUGUUACUAGCUCUUUUGGGUUUUGUUUUUCAGAAUAUCUUAUUACCCUACUUCUUUUGGCUAUUCAUAAAAUAGUUGCUGAUAAUCAGAAGACUUUAUGUAAUAUUUGGGAUAACUUUUGACCCUUUCCUAGUAUUUCUAGUUUAACUUUCAUGGAUUUUGAUAACUGAGUCAUUUUUCUCUUUACUCUGCCUUUAAGUUCUUUUGAGCUGUCGUCUUUUAUAUUUUGGUUUUAUUCUCCACAUUAGUCAGUUUUUCCAUUAAAAUAUCUUUCCAGUAUCUUCUGAGUUACUGACCUGUGAAUGCACGCUCUGACUCUUCAGAAAUGUAUUAUUUAGGUGUCAUCGUCAAAUAAUCCAAUUAUUUGUCUGUUGUCUUGAUGACCCAAAGUCAUUGCAAAUGCAUAAUAAAUUUUCGGAUUCUCAAAGUAAUUCACUUGGUUUCUCCUUUCCAGCUUUUAUUAAUUUGUUUACUUGAUUUCAGGCCUUAGCAAAUUGCUCUUUUACAUGCAUCUAUUAUAGUUCCCUCUUUUUGAUUUUAAAUUUAUGUUUAUAUGCAAAAUACUUCUGUUAUUUCUGACACUUUUCAGCUUGGUAUCAAUUUUAAAUAAUAAACUACUAUUACCUGUUUACCAUCUGGAUUCUGAAUAAAUGCUAUAACUUAGGUAUAUUCUUUCAUGUAGGAGAACACCACUGUGUUUCAUUUUUCAAACAGCAAUAAAAAGAAAAUAUGUAUUGUGGCUUUAACAAAUAUUUAUUUAUUUAUUUUGGUUUUUUUUGAGACAGGGUCUCACUAUGUAGUUCAGGCUGGCCUAGAACUUGCUAUGUAGCACAGGCUGGCCUCAAACUCACAAUGAUUCUCCUGCCUCAACCUCCUGAGUGCUAGGAUAGCAAAUAUUUGUUUUCUUAGGAUAGUUUUAUGUUCCUAAUGGUGUGCUGCCCUACCUGACAGUAAUAUUAAUUCACAUUCCCCUGAGCAUAGGCCCACUGAUGUAUGCUGGGGUUAAAAAUUUCACAUGCAUAAUUCACAAAUCAAUAUUUGAUUGCUAAGAAAACGGAGGCUAAAUUAGACACCAGUCAUCAACUCUUAAAUUUUGCUCUCAUUUUUCAUCCAUUGUAUUUAGCUAUGUGAUAACACUAAUUAUUUAAGUGAAAGUUUAUUUCUAG